ACUAUGUGUUGUUGGGUAGGGGAGCGUUCUGUAAGCCUGUGAAGGUGUGUCGUGAGGCAUGCUGGAGGUAUCAGAAGUGCGAAUGCUGACAUAAGUAACGAUAAAGCGGGUGAAAAGCCCGCUCGCCGGAAGACCAAGGGUUCCUGUCCAACGUUAAUCGGGGCAGGGUGAGUCGACCCCUAAGGCGAGGCCGAAAGGCGUAGUCGAUGGGAAACGGGUUAAUAUUCCCGUACUUGGUGUUACUGCGAAGGGGGGACGGAGAAGGCUAUGUUGGCCGGGCGACGGUUGUCCCGGUUUAAGCGUGUAGGUGUGUGUUCCAGGUAAAUCCGGUUCACUUUAACACUGAGGCGUGACGACGAGGCACUACGGUGCUGAAGCAACAAAUGCCCUGCUUCCAGGAAAAGCCUCUAAGCAUCAGGUAACAUCAAAUCGUACCCCAAACCGACACAGGUGGUCAGGUAGAGAAUACCAAGGCGCUUGAGAGAACUCGGGUGAAGGAACUAGGCAAAAUGGUGCCGUAACUUCGGGAGAAGGCACGCUGACACGUAGGUGAAGUGAUUUACUCAUGGAGCUGAAGUCAGUCGAAGAUACCAGCUGGCUGCAACUGUUUAUUAAAAACACAGCACUGUGCAAACACGAAAGUGGACGUAUACGGUGUGACGCCUGCCCGGUGCCGGAAGGUUAAUUGAUGGGGUCAGCGCAAGCGAAGCUCCUGAUCGAAGCCCCGGUAAACGGCGGCCGUAACUAUAACGGUCCUAAGGUAGCGAAAUUCCUUGUCGGGUAAGUUCCGACCUGCACGAAUGGCGUAAUGAUGGCCAGGCUGUCUCCACCCGAGACUCAGUGAAAUUGAACUCGCUGUGAAGAUGCAGUGUACCCGCGGCAAGACGGAAAGACCCCGUGAACCUUUACUAUAGCUUGACACUGAACAUUGAGCCUUGAUGUGUAGGAUAGGUGGGAGGCUUUGAAGUGUGGACGCCAGUCUGCAUGGAGCCGACCUUGAAAUACCACCCUUUAAUGUUUGAUGUUCUAACGUGGACCCGUGAUCCGGGUUGCGGACAGUGUCUGGUGGGUAGUUUGACUGGGGCGGUCUCCUCCUAAAGAGUAACGGAGGAGCACGAAGGUUGGCUAAUCCUGGUCGGACAUCAGGAGGUUAGUGCAAUGGCAUAAGCCAGCUUGACUGCGAGCGUGACGGCGCGAGCAGGUGCGAAAGCAGGUCAUAGUGAUCCGGUGGUUCUGAAUGGAAGGGCCAUCGCUCAACGGAUAAAAGGUACUCCGGGGAUAACAGGCUGAUACCGCCCAAGAGUUCAUAUCGACGGCGGUGUUUGGCACCUCGAUGUCGGCUCAUCACAUCCUGGGGCUGAAGUAGGUCCCAAGGGUAUGGCUGUUCGCCAUUUAAAGUGGUACGCGAGCUGGGUUUAGAACGUCGUGAGACAGUUCGGUCCCUAUCUGCCGUGGGCGCUGGAGAACUGAGGGGGGCUGCUCCUAGUACGAGAGGACCGGAGUGGACGCAUCACUGGUGUUCGGGUUGUCAUGCCAAUGGCACUGCCCGGUAGCUAAAUGCGGAAGAGAUAAGUGCUGAAAGCAUCUAAGCACGAAACUUGCCCCGAGAUGAGUUCUCCCUGAGACUUAAAGUCUCCUGAAGGAACGUUGAAGACGACGACGUUGAUAGGCCGGGUGUGUAAGCGCAGCGAUGCGUUGAGCUAACCGGUACUAAUGAACCGUGAGGCUUAACCUU
rnacentral:rRNA from 1 species